AGCAAGAUGUCAUGAAAUUCCUAAGCAUGCAAGAGCUGUGCAUAACCAUUAUCCAACUCUUUGUGAGGUUCUGCUACGAACUUUGCUCCUUUAGAGGAAUUGUUGAUAGAUUUGGAUUUUUGUGUCCAAAUGCUAUUCAAGGUGUAGGGCAUACACGAGAAGAUAGGAUAUCUUACAUAGGAAGUACUAUUAAGGAAGGCAAUAAGCAAUGUUGGCUUGCACCAAUUCGUGAAGGGAACCAUUGGACAUUAUGUGCUGUUUGCCCGGGCUCGAAUAUCAUUCAUUGGUUUGAUUCAC